rnacentral:rRNA from 1 species
UAGUAGAACAGUAAAACAAAACUACAACUCUAUGGCGGCAUUUCCAUAAAUCAAAGAAACUUGUCCCGUAAUCGAUAAUCCCCGUUAAAUCUCACCUACCCCAAUACUUAUAUACCGCCGUUUUAAGACCCUCCCCAAUCUCACUCUUCUCUCCCCACCUCACACAAAUCAGGUCAAGGUGUAGUCAAUGCUUAGGAAAAUGAUAAGUUGCAAAUAAUAAAAAAUUCACUCCCAUAGACUAAUCAGCUCUUAAAAAGAAUUUGAUCCCACUAUUCUACUAAUGAUCCAAUAUGAUAAUCCAACAAUGUGC